rnacentral:lncRNA from 1 species
GUUACUAUGACAAUGAAAUGUUUUCGCGAUACAUUAAUAUACCAUCACCAGGGACGGUAAGUCCAAAAGAAUGGUGUUAAUGGAACAAGAUGCCUAUGAUGAAUAUCUUUUGGAAUACAUAGCUGCAGCACAACCAAAGCUGUUAAACAAAGACCCGACACGCCAGCUGAAGGCCACCGUGGAUAAAAUAACUGCCAACCCACUAUUUCCCCAGGAGUGGAUGCACAAGAAAAUAAUCUCAACCAAGCACCAGUGUGCCCACGCCUCUUUGCGUACAUGAAGACACAAGUGAAGCCCUGCCCCAUUGUUGAGAAACAAAAUGCUCCUACCUUCAAUCUGGAAUGAACGAUCACAAGAUCAUGCACCACAAUAUUAGGACACGGUGAUAGCUCUACAAUUGUUGCAGAGGAAGCCCUAGGCAGAAUAAGAACUAUUGACUGGCAAGAAAAUUACCUAAUGACGGUAUUUGACUAUGACAACUUAUACCCC